CCUACGGGAGGCAGCAGUGAGGAAUAUUGGUCAAUGGGCGGGAGCCUGAACCAGCCAAGUCGCGUGAGGGAAGACGGUCCUAUGGAUUGUAAACCUCUUUAGGCGGGGAGCAAUGCCGGGCACGUGUGCCCGGAGGGAGAGUACCCGCAGAAGAAGCAGGGGCGAACUCCGUGCCAGCAGCCGCGGUAAUACGGAGGAUGCGAGCGUUAUCCGGAUUUAUGGGGUUGAAAGGGUGCGUAGGCGGAUUUUUAAGUCAGCGGUAAAAUGUCCGGGCUCAACCCGGGCCGGCCGUUGAAACUGGGGAUCUUGAGUGGGCUAGAAGUAUGCGGAAUUCGUGGUGUAGCGGUGAAAUGCCUAGAUAUCACGCAGAACUCCGAUUGCGAAGGCAGCAUACCGGCGCCCGACUGACGCUGAGGCACGAAAGCGUGGGGAUCGAACAGGAUUAGAUACCCGUGUAGUC
rnacentral:rRNA from 1 species